CCUUCCUCUCAAGCAGACAAACUCUGUAAGUGCCCAUGUGGUUACAGCUCUGCACAUAGGUUCUUCCAAACUUCUCAGCUCAGCGAAAUGUGCAAAACAUCAAGAGACAAUUCGAGGCACUGACUCUAUACCUCAAAAAACAAAAAGGCCAAUGCUUGUGCUUUCUCCUUUUGCUCGCAAAUCUGUUGAUCAAGAAUGAUGGUUGCCAAACUCUACUCGAAGUUGCUCAAGCAAACGGUUUUAUUAAUGUUGUUCGUACUAUUGAGAUGCUUGAGGAAGCUGGCGCUGGACUAACUCUAAGGAGUCUGAGGUGCUGAGCGGAGGAAUGGUUGUCGUUGUGCUAAGUUACCUCUGUUUGUAUAA